rnacentral:rRNA from 1 species
AGUCUGCAACUCGACUACAUGAAGCUGGAAUCGCUAGUAAUCGCGAAUCAGCAUGUCGCGGUGAAUACGUUCCCGGGUCUUGUACACACCGCCCGUCACACCAUGGGAGUCAGUAACGCCCGAAGCCGGUGACCCAACCAAGAAUGGAGGGAGCCGUCGAAGGUGGGACCGAUAACUGGGGUGAAGUCGUAACAAGGUACC